rnacentral:rRNA from 1 species
UACGUAGGGACCAAGCGUUGUUCGGAUUUACUGGGCGUAAAGGGCGCGUAGGCGGCGUGUUAAGUCACUUGUGAAAUCUCUGAGCUUAACUCAGAACGGUCAAGUGAUACUGAUGUGCUAGAGUGCAGAAGGGGCAACCGGAAUUCUUGGUGUAGCGGUGAAAUGCGUAGAUAUCAAGAGGAACACCUGAGGUGAAGACGGGUUGCUGGGCUGACACUGACGCUGAGGCGCGAAAGCUAGGGGAGCAAACGGG